GAUGAACGCUGGCGGCGUGCCUAAUACAUGCAAGUCGAACGCGAGCACUUGUGCUCGAGUGGCGAACGGGUGAGUAAUACAUAAGUAACCUGCCCUAGACAGGGGGAUAACUAUUGGAAACGAUAGCUAAGACCGCAUAGGUACGGACACUGCAUGGUGACCGUAUUAAAAAUGCCUCAAAGCACUGGUAGAGGAUGGACUUAUGGCGCAUUAGCUAGUUGGUAAGGUAACGGCUUACCAAGGCGAUGAUGCGUAGCCGAGUUGAGAGACUGAUCGGCCACAAUGGAACUGAGACACGGUCCAA
rnacentral:rRNA from 1 species